UCCUCCCUCUUUCUUCGUGCCUAAUACAUGCAAGUUGAGCGCUGAAGGUUGGUACUUGUACCAACUGGAUGAGCAGCGAACGGGUGAGUAACGCGUGGGGAAUCUGCCUUUGAGCGGGGGACAACAUUUGGAAACGAAUGCUAAUACCGCAUAAAAACUUUAAACACAAGUUUUAAGUUUGAAAGAUGCAAUUGCAUCACUCAAAGAUGAUCCCGCGUUGUAUUAGCUAGUUGGUGAGGUAAAGGCUCACCAAGGCGAUGAUACAUAGCCGACCUGAGAGGGUGAUCGGCCACAUUGGGACUGAGACACGGCCCAAACUCCUACGGGAGGCAGCAGUAGGGAAUCUUCGGCAAUGGACGAAAGUCUGACCGAGCAACGCCGCGUGAGUGAAGAAGGUUUUCGGAUCGUAAAACUCUGUUGGUAGAGAAGAACGUUGGUGAGAGUGGAAAGCUCAUCAAGUGACGGUAACUACCCAGAAAGGGACGGCUAACUACGUG
rnacentral:rRNA from 1 species